GGAUAAUGACAUUCCUCCGUUUCGUAAUAAAGCAAAGCAUACAGACAAAUGUGGGAGAAAAGUAAAGGAGAACUGCAGGAGCAGAGAGAGAACCUGCGUGACAGUGGGAACGGAAACGCAAUUAGAAAGCAGGCGAGGGGAUUACAGACUCAUCGACCUGGAGGAGACCAUUAGGCGACAGGAGGAGAGGAAUCCCGUCGGCGGAGCGCCAGGGCAUUUAAAGCCAGCCUGUAUCCACAGAGUGUGAGGAGACGUUGAAAGGUUACAGAGUUCACGGGAUCCAAGGGUCGUAAGUUAUGGAACAGACAGCCGCCGCUAACUGCUAACUCCCUCCUUUUCACUUGUUCAUAGGUGUCAGAUUCAUUAUUUGACAGGCAGAGCCUUUAUUGUGUUUUUUUUCGGCAAUAUCAGUGCCCUGCUAGCUAAGAUGCACGCGUGAAUGGGAAUCUGACUAUGCAAAGAGACAUUUUGUUCGAAAAACAUAAUCAUAUUCUUCACACACAUAUAGGUAUAAAAGACAGAUGAUUAACUAAUAACCAAGCCAGCGAAAUAGGAUAUGUUGGAUUUUACGCUAAAGAAUAUUAUUCAAGAUAAUUACACAUUACGCAUUUUUGUAAUUACUGCCUACAAACCCAAUAAAAACUCAAUAUACAGCUUCAACUUUUUUUUUGUUAAUUUUUACCUUCUAUGUUUCAUUUAGCUGUAGGGUACAAAUCUGUGAAAUAUAUUAAAAUGAGCAAACCUGCUUUCAUACUUACGUGUGCAAUCCUCUGGGAGAAGUAAGCCACAUUUUAUCCCCUCUCAAAUCAAAGCUUGUCUGUAUUUUAAGGCUUGUACAUGCAUAAUUUUUUGUUAUAGACAAAAAAAAAGAGAAAUAAAACAUUACUUCAGCAAUUACUUUUCAUAACUAUUAAUUGAAUCCAGCUUUUUAUAAUAAACGAGACUAACAAUAAUUUCCCUGUAGUCUCUGGUGGUAUCAGGCCGUCCAUGUCUCUAGACUUGAGCUCCUAGCCCAUCUGCCUAACAUUACCAUUACAGUCCUGGCUCUGCCAAACGCAGCGUAGAAUUAGACAGACCUAAUGUGGAAAAUUAGAUUGAACGGCAAUAAAGAAAAUCCAUUGGAUGAACCAGUUGCCUCGCCUUUCCUUCCCUUACUAACAGCUUUUGUUCUAGAGUUCUUGCAGGAAGAAGCCUAUUGAAGACAGGCUAACACAAGGCAGAUGCUUCAGCGCUUGGCACCGUGAAAGGUUGGGGAGGGGGUCUGAGUAAUGGUCUUGUUCUCAGACACGACCACUGUCGUGAUUUUCCUGCGAAAGCGCUAGCCCCGGCUCUGCCCGCAUUGCAGGCUCCCAGAAGCUAAUACACACCAUCUGACACCUGUCAAAACAGAGGUUGCUUGUCAAGCAUCGCGGCCUGUCGGCUUCCAGGGUCUGCCUGUGCCCGGCUGGCUUUGGCUGCUUUCCAAUCUUUCCUCCACCCAACGCUGCCCCAAAAACCCACCUACAGUAUAGCCGCUUCGCUGUCUUGCUCCGCAGUUACCAGAAGAUACAGGCAUCCCCCAAAACUGAAGAGCAACUCAUUAGAUCUUUGACCAGCAAGGUCCGCAGAAAGUUCUGUGCCUUGGCCAUUGCGUCUAAUGCCAGGUUGUCAAAACGGGUUCUGACACGAUUUUCCACUGGCCAACAUCUAUUUGUAAACUGAUGGUUCUUGUUUUUGUGUGAGGUUUUUGCUUAAAAAAUAUGCCUGCAGUUUCAGGUAUUGUUUGUUCCUGCGUUGCUAUUUUAACAGAUAAUAAACAAAAAAAAUGGAACAAUAUAUACAUUUGUUACAGGCAAAUAGUGCCGGUGGAAGUGCUUGGGUGCCGAAAAAUGAUGACCACAGUUAUUGACUUGCACAGUCCUUCUAAAUCACCCAUAAUGCAAUUGAUCGUGUCCAUAUAGCGCAUCACUUAAUUAUAUUCCCUCUCUUACACUGAACAGGCUAUCUCUGAGAUUUAUUAUUUAUCUUCUGUGCCUCGCAGUUUCCAACUGUGUCACUUCCUAUUUUGUCAUUUUACCGAAAUCAAGAUGCAUGCAAGAGAGCGACUAUUCCAGGCUGUUAUAUCACACUCCCACCCCCCACACAAAAUAUGAACACCCUGUAUUGCUUUGGUGGGGGUCUGGGUGAGUUAUCUGCCCCUGGCAUACUGCCCCAUCAGGGCAUUUUGUUGGCAUUGCAGAGAGUUGCCUUAAGGGAGUGUUUUCCAAUCCGGUCCUUGGGGACCCACAGCCGGUCCAUGUAUUUGCUCCCUCCCACCCCAAGCUGGGAGGGAGCAAAAAUGUGGACCGCUGGCAGGGAGCUCGGAGGGAGCAAAAAUGUGGACCGCUGGCAGGGAGCUCGGAGGGAGCAAAAAUGUGGACCGCUGGCAGGGAGCUCGGAGGGAGCAAAAAUGUGGACCGCUGGCAGGGAGCUCGGAGGGAGCAAAAAUGUGGACCGCUGGCAGGGAGCUCGGAGGGAGCAAAAAUGUGGACCGCUGGCAGGGAGCUCGGAGGGAGCAAAAAUGUGGACCGCUGGCAGGGAGCUCGGAGGGAGCAAAAUCAUGGACCAACUGUGGGUCCCCGAGUACUGGACUGGGAAACACUCUCUUUAGCAAUUACUACACUCCAGGAACCAGAUGCAUCACCAAGGAGACUGGAGAUUGUUG